rnacentral:piRNA from 1 species
UGAUCCUCGCAUCUCAUUGGUCCAAAGU